GGGGAUAGAGCUCAGUUGGUAGAGGGCUUGCCUCCAUGCACAAGGCCCUGGGUUCAAUCCCCAGCCCCA
rnacentral:tRNA from 1 species